GGCUAUGUAGCUCAAUUGGUAGAGUGCCGAGGUGACAGUCACCUUGUUCACUGUUGAUGCAAGUUUGACCCUCGCCAGGGCCA